rnacentral:rRNA from 1 species
UAUUGGACAAUGGGGGCAACCCUGAUCCAGCCAUGCCGCGUGAGUGAUGAAGGCCCUAGGGUUGUAAAGCUCUUUUGUGCGGGAAGAUAAUGACGGUACCGCAAGAAUAAGCCCCGGCUAACUUCGUGCCAGCAGCCGCGGUAAUACGAAGGGGGCUAGCGUUGCUCGGAAUCACUGGGCGUAAAGGGUGCGUAGGCGGGUUUUUAAGUCAGGGGUGAAAUCCUGGAGCUCAACUCCAGAACUGCCUUUGAUACUGAAGAUCUUGAGUCCGGGAGAGGUGAGUGGAACUGCGAGUGCAGAGGUGAAAUUCGUAGAUAUUCGCAAGAACACCAGUGGCGAAGGCGGCUCACUGGCCCGGUACUGACGCUGAGCACGAAA